GAGUUUGAUCCUGGCUCAGGACGAACGCUGGCGGCGUGCCUAACACAUGCAAGUCGAACGAAGCUUGAAUUCAGAUUUCUUCGGAAUGAAGAAUGAUAUGACUGAGUGGCGGACGGGUGAGUAACGCGUGAGCAACCUGCCCUUCGGAGGGGGAUAGUGUCUGGAAACGGACAGUAAUACCGCAUAACGUAUUUUUACCGCAUGAUAGAAAUACCAAAACUGAGGUGCCGAAGGAUGGGCUCGCGUUGGAUUAGAUAGUUGGUGGGGUAACGGCCUACCAAGUCAACGAUCCAUAGCCGGACUGAGAGGUUGAACGGCCACAUUGGGACUGAGACACGGCCCAGACUCCUACGGGAGGCAGCAGUGGGGAAUAUUGCACAAUGGGGGAAACCCUGAUGCAGCAACGCCGCGUGAAGGAAGACGGUUUUCGGAUUGUAAACUUCUGUUCUUAGUGAAGAAAAAUGACGGUAGCUAAGGAGCAAGCCACGGCUAACUACGUGCCAGCAGCCGCGGUAAUACGUAGGUGGCAAGCGUUGUCCGGAAUUACUGGGUGUAAAGGGAGCGCAGGCGGUGCGGCAAGUCUGAUGUGAAAG
rnacentral:rRNA from 1 species